AUGUGAAAUGAUGGCAAUCGGCAAUCAUCUUUCGGGACUGACCUGAAAUGAAGAGACACUCUUGCUGAUCACUU